rnacentral:misc_RNA from 1 species
UUUUCGCCGACGUCAUUUCCGCUUCCGGUAUCAUUUCAGCUUGCAAGUGACGUGCUUACGUGUUGAUGUGUCUAUAAAAUUAAAUACAGAACAUUAUACUUAAUCUAUGAGUAAAAAAUAGUUAGAAAACAUUUAUUUGAUUUAAAGUUAAGUGAUUUCUUAUAAUUAAGUAACAGAUAACCUUAUACAAUGGUAGGUUCUAGAGUUUAUGUUGGUGGUCUGCCGUUUGGUGUCAGGGAGAGAGAUCUUGAGAAAUUCUUCAAAGGAUUUGGUAGAAUUAGAGAUAUACUCAUCAAGAAUGGAUAUGGUUUUGUUGAAUUUGAAGACUACAGAGAUGCAGACGAUGCUGUAUAUGAAUUGAAUGGGAAAGAACUACUUGGAGAAAGGGUCGUGGUGGAGCCGGCGCGAGGCAUCGACCGCAGCGCGGACCGCUACCGGCGCGACCGCCACUACGAACGCGACCGCGGCCGGUCGCGAUACGAUGACUACAAUUACAGAUACGGACCGCCGACGCGUACGGAGUAUCGGCUAGUCGUCGAAAAUCUGUCUAGCCGCAUUAGCUGGCAGGUAAGAGCACUGGCGGACUGGCCACGUCAUCAUCCAUCACUCACUCUGGGCUGCCACACGCUCUCGAGGGUCGGGCCCGCACCGCAAGCUAGUGGGCAAUCUCGUUGACGUACUGCACGCUACCGUGAACUAAACCGAAGACAAACAAUACUUGGAUGCGGCGCACGGAAGGAUGCAACAAUUGUCGAAAAAGAGGACACUCGCACAAUGAAUGUCCAUAAUGUUCAAGACCAUAGACGCGAUCGCGAGGAUGGCUAAGAAUCAGAUGACGCUUCCGAGGGAGACAAGUGACAAGUCCACAAUGGAGAUGCGAUAUCCCGGUCAUCCUAUGGAGGAGCCGUAACCCGUCCGAAUGACAGGAUCCCACGUCCACAAGGUGGCGUUUCGUGCCCUGAGCCCUUGCCCGAUGUAGCCCUGUGAGAUGUGGUCUGAGGCGAUGUUAGGAGAGUUCCGUUGCGGCGGCG